CUCAAUAAGAGGUCCAGCCUGCCAGUGACCCUGUUCAACGGCCGCGGUAUCCUAACCGUGCGAAGGUAGCGUAAUCACUUGUUCUUUAAAUGAGGACUAGUAUGAAUGGCAUCACGAAGGUUAUACUGUCUCCUCUCUCUAAUCAGUGAAACUAAUCUCCCCGUGAAGAAGCGGGGAUAAUCUUAUAAGACGAGAAGACCCUAUGGAGCUUUAAACUAAGAAGCAAUUGCCCUCAUACCUUCGAAAUUCCAGAAAACUAAUGAGUACAAGGCACUGUGACUUCCGGUUUUAGGUUGGGGUGACCACGGAGUAAAAACUAACCUCCGUACUGAAUAGGGGCCUUCCCUAAACUAAGGGCCACAACCCCAAGAAUCAAUACAUUGACAGCAAUUGACCCAAAAAAAUUUGAUCAAUGAACCAAGUUACCCUAGGGAUAACAGCGCAAUCCACUUCAAGAGCUCCUAUCGACAAGUGGGUUUACGACCUCGAUGUUGGAUCAGGGUACCCCAGUGGUGCAGCCGCUACUAACGGUUCGU
rnacentral:rRNA from 1 species